rnacentral:rRNA from 1 species
UACACUCCUACGGGAGGCAGCAGUGGGGAAUUUUGGACAAUGGGCGAAAGCCUGAUCCAGCAAUGCCGCGUGAGUGAAGAAGGCCUUCGGGUUGUAAAGCUCUUUUGUCAGGGAAGAAACGGUGAGAGCUAAUAUCUUUUGCUAAUGACGGUACCUGAAGAAUAAGCACCGGCUAACUACGUGCCAGCAGCCGCGGUAAUACGUAGGGUGCAAGCGUUAAUCGGAAUUACUGGGCGUAAAGCGUGCGCAGGCGGUUUUGUAAGUCUGAUGUGAAAUCCCCGGGCUCAACCUGGGAAUUGCAUUGGAGACUGCAAGGCUAGAAUCUGGCAGAGGGGGGUAGAAUUCCACGUGUAGCGGUGAAAUGCGUAGAUAUGUGGAGGAACACCGAUGGCGAAGGCAGCCCCCUGGGUCAAGAUUGACGCUCAUGCACGAAAGCGUGGGGAGCAAACAGGAUUAGAAACCCCUGUAGUCCCAUGAU